ACUGAACCAAAAUAAGAUGAACAUGCCCAUUCCAUUGAAGGGAAAUUUGGUUUUCUAGGAUCAAGGUAACUGAUCAAACUUAAAUUCUAAAAGCUUUUCUUUCCUUUCUUCUUUGACGUUUCUGAUCCAAGCCAGCAAGAAUUCUCCAUCAUUCUUUUUUAACCAUUGCUUUAAAUUUUUCAUGAGAAUUUCUGCUUCCAGGUUGGGUCAUUUUGCAGUUUUUUUCAUUUGCCUGCAUGUGUAGAUAACUCAAAACCAACACAAAUCUUAAUGAUUCUGUUCCAUGUCUUGUCUGUUCCCCGCCUAUCCCAGUAUACCUCCACAUCCCACUAGUAGUCCCUUCAGCCUUCCCUAAACUACCAAUAAAACCCCAAAUAGACUGGUUUGAAUUUUAAGUGCUUUCAUUUUUCCCUGCCAGUCUUCUUAACUAUGGGUUGCAAACCCCUCUCCCUCAAGGAAGGUAAG
rnacentral:lncRNA from 1 species